CAAUAGCGUAUAUUAAAGUUGUUGCGGUUAAAAAGCUCGUAGUUGGAUUUCUGCUGAGAACGACCGGUCCGCCCUUUGGGUGUGUAUCUGGCUCUUUCUUGGCAUCUUCUUGGUGAACGUUGCUGCACUUGACUGUGUGGAGCGCUACCCAGGACUUUUACUUUGAGGAAAUUAGAGUGUUUCAAGCAGGCAUACGCCUUGAAUACAUUAGCAUGGAAUAAUAAGAUAGGACCUCGGUUCUAUUUUGUUGGUUUCUAGAGCUGAGGUAAUGAUUAAUAGGGAUAGUUGGGGGCAUUCGUAUUUAACUGUCAGAGGUGAAAUUCUUGGAUUUGUUAAAAACGGACUACUGCGAAAGCAUUUGCCAAGGAUGUUUUCAUUGA
rnacentral:rRNA from 1 species